AAGGGAGACCUAAUUCAGGUAUGGGACGAAAAAAAGUAGUCGCUACCAAGAAUCAAUCCCAAAAGGUCGGAGCGAGGUAUGAGGCUUUCAAACUAGGUUCUGGGUUCAAACAAGACCUGAAUCAGGAACAAGGGCUAUUAGCUCAGGUGGUUAGAGCGCAUCCCUGAUAAGGGUGAGGUCCCUGGUUCGAGUCCAGGAUGGCCCACCUGCACAGGUGGCAAAAACAAGAGAAGCGAGGAAUCAGCACCUUAUCUUAUCUAUAUAUAUAUAGGAGAGAAUGCUGGCUCUGAGUAAAGAGUCCAGAGGAACCUUGAAAACUGCAUAGAGCUAGGUGAAAAAGCCAAAAAAGAAGACCGCAAGGUCAAGCUAAUAAGGGCUAACGGUGGAUACCUAGGCAC
rnacentral:tRNA from 1 species